rnacentral:rRNA from 1 species
CGAGAGGGGGCAAGCGUUGUUCGGGAAUUACUGGGCGUAAAGGGCGCGUAGGCGGCCUGCUAAGUCGAACGUGAAAUCCCUGGGCUCAACCCAGGAACUGCGUCCGAUACUGGUUGGCUUGAAUUCGGGAGAGGGAUGUGGAAUUCCAGGUGUAGCGGUGAAAUGCGUAGAUAUCUGGAGGAACACCGGUGGCGAAGGCGGCAUCCUGGACCGAUAUUGACGCUGAUGCGCGAAAGCCAGGGGAGCAAACGGGAUUAGAUACCCCGGUAGUCCUGGCCCUAAACGAUGAAUGCUUGGUGUGGCGGGUAUCGAUCCCUGCCGUGCCAAAGCUAACGCAUUAAGCAUUCCGCCUGGGGAGUACGGUCGCAAGGCUG